AGCGAACGGGGAGCAGCCCAGAGCCUGAAUCAGUGUGUGUGUUAGUGGAAGCGUCUGGAAAGGCGCGCGAUACAGGGUGACAGCCCCGUACACAAAAAUGCACAUACUGUGAGCUCGAUGAGUAGGGCGGGACACGUGGUAUCCUGUCUGAAUAUGGGGGGACCAUCCUCCAAGGCUAAAUACUCCUGACUGACCGAUAGUGAACCAGUACCGUGAGGGAAAGGCGAAAAGAACCCCGGCGAGGGGAGUGAAAAAGAACCUGAAACCGUGUACGUACAAGCAGUGGGAGCCUCUUUAUGGGGUGACUGCGUACCUUUUGUAUAAUGGGUCAGCGACUUAUAUUCUGUAGCAAGGUUAACCGAAUAGGGGAGCCGAAGGGAAACCGAGUCUUAACUGGGCGUUAAGUUGCAGGGUAUAGACCCGAAACCCGGUGAUCUAGCCAUGGGCAGGUUGAAGGUUGGGUAACACUAACUGGAGGACCGAACCGACUAAUGUUGAAAAAUUAGCGGAUGACUUGUGGCUGGGGGUGAAAGGCCAAUCAAACCGGGAGAUAGCUGGUUCUCCCCGAAAGCUAUUUAGGUAGCGCCUCGUGAAUUCAUCUCCGGGGGUAGAGCACUGUUUCGGCAAGGGGGUCAUCCCGACUUACCAACCCGAUGCAAACUGCGAAUACCGGAGAAUGUUAUCACGGGAGACACACGGCGGGUGCUAACGUCCGUCGUGAAGAGGGAAACAACCCAGACCGCCAGCUAAGGUCCCAAAGUCAUGGUUAAGUGGGAAACGAUGUGGGAAGGCCCAGACAGCCAGGAUGUUGGCUUAGAAGCAGCCAUCAUUUAAAGAAAGCGUAAUAGCUCACUGGUCGAGUCGGCCUGCGCGGAAGAUGUAACGGGGCUAAACCAUGCACCGAAGCUGCGGCAGCGACACUAUGUGUUGUUGGGUAGGGGAGCGUUCUGUAAGCCUGUGAAGGUGUGCUGUGAGGUAUGCUGGAGGUAUCAGAAGUGCGAAUGCUGACAUAAGUAACGAUAAAGCGGGUGAAAAGCCCGCUCGCCGGAAGACCAAGGGUUCCUGUCCAACGUUAAUCGGGGCAGGGUGAGUCGACCCCUAAGGCGAGGCCGAAAGGCGUAGUCGAUGGGAAACAGGUUAAUAUUCCUGUACUUGGUGUUACUGCGAAGGGGGGACGGAGAAGGCUAUGUUGGCCGGGCGACGGUUGUCCCGGUUUAAGCGUGUAGGCUGGUUUUCCAGGCAAAUCCGGAAAAUCAAGGCUGAGGCGUGAUGACGAGGCACUACGGUGCUGAAGCAACAAAUGCCCUGCUUCCAGGAAAAGCCUCUAAGCAUCAGGUAACAUCAAAUCGUACCCCAAACCGACACAGGUGGUCAGGUAGAGAAUACCAAGGCGCUUGAGAGAACUCGGGUGAAGGAACUAGGCAAAAUGGUGCCGUAACUUCGGGAGAAGGCACGCUGAUAUGUAGGUGAAGUCCCUUGCGGAUGGAGCUGAAAUCAGUCGAAGAUACCAGCUGGCUGCAACUGUUUAUUAAAAACACAGCACUGUGCAAACACGAAAGUGGACGUAUACGGUGUGACGCCUGCCCGGUGCCGGAAGGUUAAUUGAUGGGGUUAGCGGUAACGCGAAGCUCUUGAUCGAAGCCCCGGUAAACGGCGGCCGUAACUAUAACGGUCCUAAGGUAGCGAAAUUCCUUGUCGGGUAAGUUCCGACCUGCACGAAUGGCGUAAUGAUGGCCAGGCUGUCUCCACCCGAGACUCAGUGAAAUUGAACUCGCUGUGAAGAUGCAGUGUACCCGCGGCAAGACGGAAAGACCCCGUGAACCUUUACUAUAGCUUGACACUGAACAUUGAGCCUUGAUGUGUAGGAUAGGUGGGAGGCUUUGAAGUGUGGACGCCAGUCUGCAUGGAGCCGACCUUGAAAUACCACCCUUUAAUGUUU
rnacentral:rRNA from 1 species